rnacentral:rRNA from 1 species
UACGUAGGUGGCGAGCGUUGUCCGGAUUUACUGGGCGUAAAGAGCGCGCAGGCGGUCGUUCAAGUCGCGUGUGAAAGCCCCCGGCUCAACUGGGGAGGGUCACGCGAUACUGAUCGACUCGAAGGCAGGAGAGGGUAGUGGAAUUCCCGGUGUAGUGGUGAAAUGCGUAGAUAUCGGGAGGAACACCAGUGGCGAAGGCGACUACCUGGCCUGUUCUUGACGCUGAGACGCGAAAGCGUGGGAGCAAACAGG